rnacentral:tRNA from 1 species
GUAAAGGUAAGCUAAUUGAAGCUAUUAGGUUCAUACCCUUGCUAUAGAAGACAAUCCUUCUCCUUUUUA